rnacentral:rRNA from 1 species
GACGAACGCUGGCGGCGUGCCUAAUACAUGCAAGUUGAGCGCUGAAGGUUGGUACUUGUACCAACUGGAUGAGCAGCGAACGGGUGAGUAACGCGUGGGGAAUCUGCCUUUGAGCGGGGGACAACAUUUGGAAACGAAUGCUAGUACCGCAUAAAAACUUUAAACACAAGUUUUAAGUUUGAAAGAUGCAAUUGCAUCACUCAAAGAUGAUCCCGCGUUGUAUUAGCUAGUUGGUGAGGUAAAGGCUCACCAAGGCGGUGAUACAUAGCCGACCUGAGAGGGUGAUCGGCCACAUUGGGACUGAGACACGGCCCAAACUCCUACGGGAGGCAGCAGUAGGGAAUCUUCGGCAAUGGACGAAAGUCUGACCGAGCAACGCCGCGUGAGUGAAGAAGGUUUUCGGAUCGUAAAACUCUGUUGGUAGAGAAGAACGUUGGUGAGAGUGGAAAGCUCAUCAAGUGACGGUAACUACCCAGAAAGGGACGGCUAACUACGUG